GGUUAAGAAGAUUGCUAACGCGUUUGAUAACCAUAUGGAUGCGAAGAGGACGCUCCGUGAGAUUAAGCUUCUUCGCCAUUUGGAUCAUGAAAAUGUUAUAGGCAUUAGAGAUGUGAUUCCUCCACCUUUACGGAGAGAAUUCAAUGAUGUCUACAUUUCGACUGAACUAAUGGAUACCGAUCUUCACCAAAUAAUCCGUUCCAACCAAAGUUUAUCAGAAGAGCAUUGUCAGUAUU
rnacentral:misc_RNA from 1 species